GCCUACGGGGGGCAGCAGUAGGGAAUCUUCCACAAUGGGCGAAAGCCUGAUGGAGCAACGCCGCGUGGUGAAGAAGGUCUUCGGAUCGUAAAACCCUGUUGUUAGAGAAGAAAGUGCGUGAGAGUAACUGUUCACGUUUCGACGGUAUCUAACCAGAAAGCCACGGCUAACUACGUGCCAGCAGCCGCGGUAAUACGUAGGUGGCAAGCGUUAUCCGGAUUUAUUGGGUGUAAAGGGAACGCAGGCGGUCUUUUAAGUCUGAUGUGAAAGCCUUCGGCUUAACCGGAGUAGUGCAUUGGAAACUG
rnacentral:rRNA from 1 species